AAUCCCCAACCCCCUUUGUAAGUUUUAAAGUUGUGAUUUAUACUCUCCUUUUCAUGUGUGUGUAAUAUUCCCAGCGCCUUUCGCUUCCCUUCUCCAGUGCAGGUUACAGUUUAGAUCGUGGUUGGGGCGUAGCCUUAUUUUAGCCCCUUGUUCUCUUUUUAUGAAUUAGCUUUUUAUACAACGCGACCUUGAUCUUUCUUCUGCUGUUCUUUCUACGUAAACCUUGUUUUCUUGAACUCUUUUCAGAAGACGUGCUUUAGUUGAAAGGCAUAGCUCAGCAGUCAGAAAAGCUGGCCUCACUGGGUUCCUGCAUCCGAGGUUUCCUGGCUCAGUUCUGCAGCCUGGAUUCUCUUCCUUCACCUCUGCUGACACAGUCCAGCUUGACUUUACUUCCGCUUCCCUAGUGAGGAGCACUGGCCCUUCAGUCUCAAGAGUUCUCAGGGAAUAGACUGCUUUACCGCUCCAUCCUCACGGUGGGCUUCAUAUUCUCACCAGACUGGGAGCUGCUAUCAUGUUGGUUGCUGUGUUCCCCAGUGACUGUCUGGGCUACUUGGGGCCUUUCCUGUGUCUAGCGCCAGUAGACUCAUCCUGCUCCACUCUGCUUCUUCCUGCACAGGACCGACAGCAUGCAAGUCCCUGAUCCCCCCUUCUGCUAAUAUUUUAAAGUUUAUGCUAGUGUUCAUGACUAUAUAUGACUUGUUUUAUUAUGCAUUCAUGGGUAUCUCUGUGUGUGUACAUACGCGUGGGUGCUCAUGGAGGUCAGAAUGCAUCAGAUCCCCUAGAGCUGGAGUUCCAGGUGACGGUUAUCCCCCAACCCCAUAUGAGUACUGGGAACUGACACUGGUCCUCUACAAGAGAUGCAAGCUCUCUUGACUGCUAAGCGCUCUCUCUAGUCCUAUGAGCUGUAUCCUUAUCACAAACAUUGCCAAGUAUGUUAGCUUUCUUAUCGGAUUACUCUUUUUGUGAAGGGUGCUAAUAGAAUGUCAAACUCUGCUUCUUUCUCGGCUGUCUUUCCAGAACCUUCUUUGGCUUUAAAAAGUUGAUGGAUGUCUCUAAAUCUCUUGGAGGACACUAUGUGUCUUAGUCACUGUGCCACUGGUGUGAAGACACAUUAUGACCAAGGUGACUUAUUGAAGAAAACAUUUAACCGGGGGCUGGCUUACAGUGCAGAGGGUUAGUCCAUCAUCAUCAUGGCAAAGAACACGGCAGCAAGCCAGCAGCCAUAGUAGCGGAGGAGGAGCUGAGAGCUUACAUCAUUCACAAGGAGAGAGGUGGGAAGUCAGGGGGAGAGAGGGGGAGGACUGGCAUGGGCUUCGAAACCUCAUAGCCCACCCUCAGAGAUACACCUCUUCUAACUAGGCCACACCUCCUCAUCCUUCCUAAACACUUCACCAACUGGGAACUAAAUAUUCAAAUACAUGAGCCUUACUGGGGCCUUCUCAGUUUAAACAAUAUGCGAUGUGUAUGCAUUUUAUUUAAAUUAAUAAAGUCUUCCUGUUUCUAAACAGCAAAGGGAAAUCUCUGAGCAUCCCUGGAGGAAUUUGUAUAAGGUAUGAAUUGUCCUAAACCAAAGUCUGGGAGCAGACAUCCACGAGCUUGGGACUGAGGGCAGUGGGCUCCCUGCAGGCGGCCCUGAGACAGUGCGGCUGAACAGGGGAGUAGGCUGACUCUUGGAGGCACAGCAGGAGACAGAUGCAUAUGAGUCCUUCCACAAGCCAUCCUUGAAACAGAAACUGCACACUGCUGUAGGCCAAGUUUGAAUCCAAAUGUGUUGGAGGAGUUUAUUCGCACAUUUCUCAAACCACAGGUCACAUGUCUGUGUUUCUUCAAAUUCCUUAAGAAAUCAAAUCAUGUGGGAAGGACAGUUGUUUUUAUUUAUUCCUCCAUUUCAAUGGGUUUCUCGUUAGCAGUAAGGGGCCUUUGACAUGUUGGACUUCCCGCUUACUCAUGUGUAGGUCAUAUGUCCUAAGGCCUCUGAAAUUAGCCAUUAAUACAGAAGCUUGUCACCCAGCACAGACAUUUAAGGUAGAAAAACAGAACAGUAUAUUUGACUUAUUCUUCCAAAGUGGGUUGCGAAUCUUGUCUAGUCAGUGACCAGUUACAUAUUUUAGAAUACUAGAAUCAACAGACCUCGGAUGCUUGUGUCAAUGUCUGUUCUUCUGAACUUCCUCUUAGUGUAGUGUGAGGCCCGAUCCUUAGCUGAGAAUCUCCGUACAACACUACUUACAUUGUACCUAUCGCUAGGAGUCUGAAGACAAAGCUCAGGGGGAAUUUGUCUUUAUGAGUUUUGGACCAAUGAUGAUGCUGCAGACUACACUAAAGUUGUGUACAACUGGUCACUUUCUCCUGAGCUCCAAGACCCUGCUGCACACCUGCUGCUGCACACCUGCUGCUGCACACCUGCUUCUGCACACCUGCUGCUGCACACCUGCUGCUGCACACCUGCUGCUGCACACCUGCUGCUGCACACCUGCUGCUGCACACCUGCUUCUGCACACCUGCUGCUGCACACCUGCUGCUGCACACCUGCUGCUGCACACCUGCUGCUGCACACCUGCUGCUGCACACCUGCUACUGCACACCUGCUUCUGCACACCUGCUGCUGCACACCUGCUGCUGCACACCUGCUGCUGCCAAUUUUCUUUUCUGUUUAAAUUUUUUCUUUCUUUUUUUGUGGUGGGGCGGGGAUGCCUUUUUGAGACAGAGUUUUACCAUGUAGAUGUCCUGGAACUCACACUGUAGACCAGGUUGGCCUCAGACCCAUAGAGAUCUGCCUGUCUCUACUUCCUGAGUGUUGGCAUUAAAGGCAUGAGCCACCACUGCCCAGCCUUAAGUUUUUUCUUAAUGAAAAUUCUGUAUUUACAGAGAUCCAUUAAAGAACAUAAAAGUAGUUAUUUCUAGAAUUCAAAAACGUAAUUAAGUCUAUUCCAGUGUAAGUUUAAAUGACUUUUACAGAACACCAGUCCACAGACCAUCUAGAUCACUACUAGUCCCCAAAGACCUAGGAAUAUAUGCUCUGUCUUAUUCCCUCUAAGUCCACCGCAUGAUUUCCAUUCAUUCGUUAAAAACAUCCAUAACAUUAUCCAAGCUUCCCCCAUCAGUCAUCUACUAAAGUACAACCUGCUAGACAGAGGGACGUUUUUCAUGUAGUUAUCAGAGUAGAGACCACUAGGACUGUAUUAUGUGCUUCCAAUGCACAAGGUACCAUGGUAAGUCAUGUAGGGCCUGCUUUCAGAGUAAUUAAUUCCUGCUAAAUGCAAAUCUUACAACUGGUAUUUGUGAAGUACGAAAUGUCAAAAUUGUGUAUUUAAGUUCUUCCCAUGAAGACACUGUUAAUUGCUAAAAUUUAUAUCGCUUAAGAGACCUAUCCAUCCCUCCCUGGCAUCCCUCCUUGCAGUUACACUUUACCUGGGGAGGGGUUGGUGUUUCUCGAAUUUAAACGUAUGUGGAUGAUGUAGAGGGGUGGAGACACUUUAACAGGCUGUAGAAGAGUGAGGAUGGAGCGAAGCAGCUGAACUAGGUUAGAGGGACAUCGACGUCAGGGCUAUCAGGAGACUUUGUUGUUUACUCUUUACAUCAAGAAAGGAACGGUAUGUUUUGUUUUGCUCAUUUGUUUUUGUUGCAAGUGUAUCAUACACAGAAGGCCAGAUGCAGGAGGAGAAGGACGCAGUAGAUGAGGCUUUUCGAAGGACAGAGCCAGCUGGAUGUUUGUUCAGUAUUACGUUUUGGUUUUGAAAUAAGAAGCAUCCCGCGACACAGGAGUAUUUGGGUUAAGACUCAGAUCGAUGAGAGAAGGUAGAGAUUUAUGUCAGCAGUGAUGUGAAGACCAGGAUCACGACAGUCUACAGCAUGCACACUUACCUACUUUUCUAGCAACAAAACGUAGCGAGGAGUUCAUAAAAACCCAGAAAGGAUCCAGAAGAGCCUCAGAAAUUAUGUGGGGAUGGAAGAUGAGGUAUCAUAGAAGGGAGACUGAACAGUCACGUUCUGUGAAAAGGUGACACGUACGUAUUGUGCCGUCAGGAAUGGUUUUCACGUUGUCCAAUGUGAAAACCAAAGAGUCCUUGGACUUUGAAAGAAGUGAUUUUCGAACAUACAAAGACCUUCUACUUUAUCCUUAAGUUAUGCUCCGUGCUUUGGAGUUAUAAAUACAUCAUACCAACAAGUAUCAGAGGCAAACAGAAUCAGUGCUGUAGGCCAAAGUAUUCCCAGGGAGUGGUUAGGGAGAUUGGAGCUGGCCAGCCUGUCUUCACUUGGUAAAGCCAAUGUUUCCUCCUGCCUGGUGCUUCUUCCUUUGUCACAGUGGUCUGCUAAAGGAACAAUUUAAGAUUUCGCAUGGUUGCACCAACCACAGCAGCUGACGAGAAGGCUUGGGGCUUCGUUUGGUUUAUUGGAUCCUUUCUACACUUUGGAGAAACACCAUCUUGCAAAUGUUGACGCUAACCUCCUGAUACUUAAGUUUGGAUGAGGAAGGUAUUUAAGGAAUGCAAACAACUGUCAUCAAUAAAUAAACACACGAGAUGCACGGCACACAAGAUGCAAUGUGACGUUAAUAUGUGGGAUAUGAGACUGGGUUGAGACUUCCGGGUCCUACUGUGCUUUGUGCUACUGUCCAGGGAGUGGCUUUUUGUUUUGUUUUAUUUUUGUUUUGUUUUGUUUUAAUAGGCAAACAGACACAGAUAAACAAGACUGGACCAAGACAUCUGUCUUCUUAGGCUGAUAAGGCUGACAGCCAACUGAAGCGCAUUAAAGGAGGAAGCAACCUUGGGAGGCUUACUCUUGUCAUGGCGGCCAACAACACAGGAAGUUCAGCUGUUCGAGCCCACCCACCCAUUCCAACUACUCUUUUCAAUAGUGCAGUCCACCCCGAGUUAAGUUCUGCUAUGUAAAACAGCCUAUGUUCAGCCGUGCUGGGGUCUCCUGGGAGGCUAACGGAAGUGGCAACUGCAUUGUCGAUGUGGCUUGGAAGAAAGAACGUAGAGAUCAGUCUGGGAGUUGUAAAUUCAAGUUUCAACAUUGUGUAAUUUUGAAGAAGCCGUUUCUCCCC